CCUGACGUGGGAUUCGAUCCCGGGUCUCCAAGAUCGCGCCCUGGGCCAAAGGCAGGCGCCAAACCGCUGCGCCACCCAGGGAUCCCUCGGGGUCUUUAUAUAUAGCUUUCUGGAGCUGACCUUAGCUCCUGGUGUGUUGUAGAUGAGACUGGGGGCAUGGAGGCUACGCUCCCAGUGGGGGAUACGGAAUGUGGCUGGGCUCAUAGCAGGAGGUUCAUGAAGGAGGCUUUAACCUGGUAAAGGCUUUGAUGACUCUGCAGCUGAGCCUGAGCAGCAGACAGUCUUGCCCAGAGGUGGGAUGCAAGAUGAGACCCAGCCACAGACGUAUGUGCAGAUCCCAGCUGAGAGGUAAGGCUGAGUCAGCCAGGGAGCACCAGGUCCUGAGCAGGAGGAGAGACACAAAAGUGCCAGUUACACCAGCUCCCAUGCAUGGCAUCACCAGUGGAUCUGGGGGACAAGAGUCAUCCCUCCGUCAGAGACCAUCCAGGGGCUCUGUGAGCCAUGUAGGUGUGUCAUAGACCCCCUUUCCACAUCAUCAUGUGGACCUGUAAGCCACACAUAUCCCUUCCUCACUUGGAAAGGAGUAGGGGGCAGAGGGGAGGGUGGUGGAAAUGUGAGGCUGAGCAUUUGUAUAUGUGGACCCAUCCCAGCACACUUACUUGUCAUAUUAGAUACGGACCCCCAGAGCAGAUGGCAGAAAGAAGAGAGGCCCACAUGGACACACAUAAGGGAGUAAUUGACUCAAAUGAGUCUGAUAACCCCAUGUUGGACUCUCCCCGGACACCAGCCAUUGGGGCUUUUACCUGGAAGAUGAUGAAUCUCUGAAGCCAUAUCUCCGUGGGUCACAGAAGCACGGCUUGUUUUCAUCUGUACCUCCUUCUAUUCCGGUGGCUCUUCCCAUCAACAGUAAGCCCGGGAUUUCGAACACAGGAGUUGAAUAUCCGGAAGAAAUCGCUCAAAGGGAAAGUUUGGGGAGGCACGUGUUCAUGGGUGUCCAGUACAGUGACUCAACAAUUCCAUACAUCACCGGGUUCUCAUCAGGACAAGUGCCCUCCUUCUUCCCCAGCUGUUUUGUUAAAUUCCACCAGUGAAAUCAUAUGAUACUUGUCUUUCUUCUUAUUUCGCUUAGCGUAAUAAUCUCUAGCUUCAUCUGUGUUGUUUCAAAUGGGAAGAUUUCAUUCUCUUUUAUGGCUGCAUAAUAUUCCAUUGUAUGUGUACACACCACAUCUUCCUUAUCCAUUCAUCUAUCCAUGGACGCUUGGGCUGCUUCCACGAUUUGGU